AGCGAACGCUGGCGGCAGGCCUAACACAUGCAAGUCGAACGGGCUCUUCGGAGCUAGUGGCGGACGGGUGAGUAACACGUGGGAACGUGCCUUUAGGUUCGGAAUAAGCCCGGGAAACUGGGUCUCAUACCGAAUGUGCCCUUCGGGGGAAAGAUUUAUCGCCUUUAGAGCGGCCCGCGUCUGAUUAGCUAGUUGGUGGGGUAAUGGCCCACCAAGGCUACGAUCAGUAGCUGGUCUGAGGUGAUGACCAGCCACAUUGGGACUGAGACACGGCCCAAACUCCUACGGGAGGCAGCAGUGGGGAAUCUUGCGCAAUGGGCGAAAGCCUGACGCAGCCAUGCCGCGUGGAUGAUGAAGGUCUUAGGAUUGUAAAAUCCUUUCACCGGUGAAGAUAAUGACUGUAGCCGGAGAAGAAGUCCCGGCUAACUACGUGCCAGCCGCCGCGGUAACAC
rnacentral:rRNA from 1 species